rnacentral:rRNA from 1 species
GGCCCACUUCUUAGAGGGACUGUCGGCGUUGCAGCCGAAGGAGGUUUGAGGUAAUAACAGGUCUGUGAUGCCCUUAGAUGUCCUGGGCCGCACGCGCGCUACACUGACGGAGCCAACGAGUUCAUUAACCUUGGCCGAAAGGCC